UACGUAGGUGGCAAGCGUUAUCCGGAAUUAUUGGGCGUAAAGCGCGCGUAGGCGGUUUUUUAAGUCUGAUGUGAAAGCCCCCGGCUCAACCGGGGAAGGGCAUUGGAAACUGGAAAACUUGAGUGCAGAAGAGGAUAGUGGAAUUCCAGGUGUAGCGGUGAAAUGCGCAGAUAUAUGGAGGAACACCAGUGGCGAAGGCGACUUUCUGGUCUGAAACUGACGCUGAUGUGCGAAAGCGUGGGGAUCAAACAGG
rnacentral:rRNA from 1 species